GCUCGCUUCGGCAGCACAUGCACUAACAUUGGAACAGUACAGAGAAGAUUAGCAUGGCCCUGCACAAGGAUGCCAUGCAAAUUCAUGGAGCGUUCCAUAGUUAA